UCUGGAGACAGUAGGCAUCUUUUCACUAGGGACUGUCUUCUCUCUGCAUGGCUGAAAGCAAGGACCCUGACCCCUCCCUGCAGAGGACUCGUGCCUGCCUUCCAAGGCCAGUGGUUUGGUGUGCAGAAAUGCUGAGGUCCCAGUCUCAGCUGAGACAGGCAGAGAGAUGCUUCAGUGAUUCACACCCUCGUGUCGUGCAAGCACUGGAGAGUUUCAAAGGGUGUAGCAUGCUGUCUGGAAAGAUGAAGUUCAGAGACUUCAAGAAGUGAUGAAUUCGUCAUACCCCCUCAGGACUUACUUCAAUGCUUAAUUAAUUGCUGUUAAGAUGUGCACCUUAUUGCUAGCUGAAACAUAGUUAUCUUCAGCCUCCAGCCAUGGGAUCUCGUUAUGUGUUGCCUGAUAGAUUAAAGAGUCUCUACAAUAAAAAUCUAUGCAAAAAA